rnacentral:rRNA from 1 species
AGUCGAGCGGAUGUGAUGGGAAGCUUUGCUCCCUGAAAUAGCGGCGGACGGGUGAGUAAACGUGGGUAACCUGCCUGUAAGAGUGGGAGAAUCCGGGAAACCGGGGCUAAUACCGGAGAGUUCUUUUUCCUCGCAUGAGGAAAAGUGGAAAGGCGGCUUCGGCUGCCACUUACAGAUGGACCCGCGGCGCAUUAGCUAGUUGGUGAGGUAACGGCUCACCAAGGCAACGAUGCGUAGCCGACCUGAGAGGGUGAUCGGCCACACUGGGACUGAGACACGGCCCAGACUCCUACGGGAGGCAGCAGUAGGGAAUCUUCCGCAAUGGACGAAAGUCUGACGGAGCAACGCCGCGUGAGUGAUGAAGGUUUUCGGAUCGUAAAGCUCUGUUGUUAGGGAAGAACAAGUGCCGUUCGAAUAGGGCGGCACCUUGACGGUACCUAACCAGAAAGCCACGGCUAACUACGUGCCAGCAGCCGCGGUAAUACGUAGGUGGCAAGCGUUGUCCGGAAUUAUUGGGCGUAAAGCGCGCGCAGCGGUCUCUUAAGUCUGAUGUGAAAGCCCACGGCUCACCGUGGAGGGUCAUUGGAAACUGGGGGACUUGAGUACAGAAAGGAAAGU